rnacentral:rRNA from 1 species
UGGGGAAUAUUGCACAAUGGGCGAAAGCCUGAUGCAGCAACGCCGCGUGGAGGAUGAAGGCCUUCGGGUUGUAAACUCUUGUCUUCUGGGACGAUAAUGACGGUACCAGAGGAGGAAGCCACGGCUAACUACGUGCCAGCAGCCGCGGUAAUACGGAGGUGGCAAGCGUUGUCCGGAUUUACUGGGCGUAAAGGAUGCGUAGGCGGAUAUUUAAGUGGGAUGUGAAAUACCCGGGCUCAACCUGGGUGCUGCAUUCCAAACUGGAUAUCUGGAGUGCGGGAGAGGAAAGUGGAAUUCCUAGUGUAGCGGUGAAAUGCGUAGAGAUUAGGAAGAACACCAGUGGCGAAGGCGACUUUCUGGACCGUAACUGACGCUGAGGCAUGAAAGCGUGGGGAGCAAACA